CUGCAACUGCAAGGCUCAGCUUGAAUCUGCAUGAACAUAAAGUCAUUAUUUGCAAUGGCUUUAGGUUGUUAAGGUACAGACUGGAAAUGAGCAACUUAGCUGUCUGUUGGAGUCAUAUACAGACUUGAAUCCAUCUGGCCCAAGAGAGAUAUUUGGGGAGACGUAGGUGGAGGACGGAAGCAUGAGGCAAUAAGAAGAAGCAAAAACGGGAGGUAUGCUCAAAAAAAUGUAUGAGAAGCGUGUGUUACACCCCCACCGCCCCCCCAACAAACAUGCUCAACCCUGCAUGGGGAUGCUGGGAUCUCAUUAGUGGGGAUGCAAGAGAGGUGAGAAGGGUUGUGUCUGUCUGUUUGCCCUUAAUUGAUGUUGGGAGGAGGGUGAGCAAGCGAAGCAACUCUAAAAAAUAAUCCUCAUGAUAAAUUUACAAGGCAUCAUUUUCUAAGAGUGUUAGUGAAGGGAUUUGAGAAGCUAAGACAUGAAGAUGGUACCAAAGUGAAACAGGACAGAAAAAUGUGCUUGUGACUCUUUUUGUAAGAGAGCCAUGAUAAUCUAUGUAGGUGCAUGAUCUCAGUUUAAAGUCCCAGAUGCUUUCCUCUAAUUGGCCUAAUCUGUUCUUCUCAGAGUUAUUAUCAGGCAUUAUUUACAGAAGUUGAUGAGACUGCAAGAUUUCUCAUGUUUAUUCAUUUAGAUGGGAUAGUUUUGCUCUAUUGUUUAUGGAAAGCCAGUUAUCUUGAAUUGUUUGUUUCUUUCAGAAAUCAAAUCCAUUAACUACUUGAUCAACAGCUCUGACAUUAAGUGAACUUAAGUGCAUCAUUGCAGGAUUGACUGGUAAAGUGUAAAGUAAUACUGAUGCAACAAUAAGUAGUUUGUGUGUAACAGCUUCCACAGUGGCAUUGUUAUUUAAUAGCAACUGUCAACAUGAAACUGCUCCAUCUAUAAAGCAUACAUGAAUAGAAAGUAUCUCUAAUUAUGGAAAUGAAGCUGUACAAUUAGAUGACAAAUCUCUUUAAUUCUGGCCUUGUUGUUAAUGUUAUGCUAACCCAUUUGCUAGCAUCAGCUUACAGGGAAUAUUACUGACUUGGAUUCACGUCCAUUUUAUGCAGAAUUUAUUAACCAAACUAUAAUUUUUUUUAUUAACCUUUAUUUAACCGGAUUAAAAUUCCAUAGAGAUCAAUGUCUCUUUUGCAAGGGGGAUCUGCUCAAAAGGACACCAGCACACAUCAUGAAAAGGAAAAACAAGAUUAUGCAUGAAAGGUAAGAAAAGUCACAUUCCCUUUAAAAAUUAUGCUGGAAAUGCACAGUUGAUUAUUAAGAGCUAACUGGCUGGAAAACAGCCCCAGUAGUAACAGUUCAUGGCCAUGAGCUGCAUCUGUCAUGCUUACUGUCUCUUUCUCCGGGAAUAAGUCUGAUGUUGACUCUUGUUUCAUCGCUUGCUCUGUCCCUUUCUCACUUUCUGUUCCUCAGUUCCUACCAUAAUGUCCUCUCGGGCUUCACAGUGCUCGUUCUAAAUGACCAGUGUGUUGAUAUCCAGUUGCUAACGUGUGAUGCGGUACUGUUAAGCAAAAUGCUGCUGUAAAGCGAUGCAUUGUCCUGUAAAAAAAUAAAUAAAAGGUUGUGAAGUGUUGUUUUUGAGCCUCAAUUCAAUAUUUUCCUGGGGUCAAGGUAUAAACUGAAUACAUUUUUCUGUUCCUGUGCUCUGUUGUGGAACAACAAAAAUAAAAUGCAGUGCUAAAGGAAUUCAUCCUUUUCCUCUGUUGGAGAAUGGGGAUUAAUUUACCAACAAUCUGUAAGUUUUUCUUCUGUGUGUUUUAUCUUUUCCCUAAGUUUGGAAAACUAUAACAAUUUGUCCACAAGGAGCACACAUUCUCUGGAGAGGAAAACAAAGCCUCUCUAUGCUCUGAGACAGCAAAUUUAUAUGUACACUAUACACAUACAAACAAGAAAAUACACAAAAGAGCACUCUAAUUCAGUCCCUGCUGACAUGUUAGACUUCUGAAGUAUAUUUGAUUACCUCUGGUCUACAAACUGGUAAACACUAAAUUUACCCCCUGAGGCAAAACACAAUAUUUCUGAUAAAAGUGGUGGCAUCAGUCCUGAAAGCUGCAAGUAAAAAAAUGAAUUAAACAUCUUGUCAGAUUUAUCAACUUAUCAAAUUAUUGCUAGAAUAUUAUUAUUCAUCAACCCUGGUUUUAUUGCGUGGGUGCAGUAUGGUGGGUGUUUUUUUAAUAUUAUUAUUAAUGAAAAACAACCAAUUAAAUCCUUCUUAAAAACACUGUACAGAUUCAAAAACAGGCCUUUUUUAUUAUGAGCUACAAUGUAAUUCUGUGUAUUUUAUACUUUCUGUAAUGUCUGCAGCUCAUUAGCACAAAAAAAAACUAUAUGAAAUGUUCAUAAUUCUGUAAUAUCCUUACCAAUCAUUGGGUUAGAUGUUAACCAGCAUUGAUUUUAAAUUGAAGAUUCACAUCAGUAGGAAUGUGGAUCUUUUCAGAAUUCAUUAUUGGGGAGCUCAUUAUUUGUUCAGAGGUGUAUGACUACCAAAUUGACUCUGUUAUGCCUCCUGGGUAUGAUUGUUUAUUAGUGUUUUUUCCUUUUUGAAUGAAUUUUAUGACUUUUUAUGGAUUGGAGAAAAUAAAUGUGGCUUUUGGAAUUCAAAGUAUC